rnacentral:rRNA from 1 species
GAUGAACGCUAGCUACAGGCUUAACACAUGCAAGUCGAGGGGAAACGAUGAGAGAGCUUGCUCUCUUAGUCGUCGACCGGCGCACGGGUGAGUAACGCGUAUCCAACCUGCCUCUGACCAAGGGAUAACCCGUCGAAAGUCGGACUAAUACCUUAUGCAGUCGUCGGAAGUCAUCUGAUGACGACGAAAGAUUUCAUCGGUGAGAGAUGGGGAUGCGUCUGAUUAGCUUGUUGGCGGGGUAACGGCCCACCAAGGCGACGAUCAGUAGGGGUUCUGAGAGGAAGGUCCCCCACAUUGGAUCUGAGACACGGUCCAAACUCCUACGGGAGGCAGCAGUGAGGAAUAUUGGUCAAUGGGCGUAAGCCUGAACCAGCCAAGUAGCGUGCAGGAUGACGGCCCUAUGGGUUGUAAACUGCUUUUAUGCGGGGAUAAAGUGAGGGACGUGUCCUUCAUUGCAGGUACCGCAUGAAUAAGGACCGGCUAAUUCCGU